rnacentral:misc_RNA from 1 species
CAAGUGCUCGCGUCAGCACGGGGUAUAUACGCAUUACGCACGCAUCAGCUGCGGCCAGGAAUAGGAACCACAGCCCCGCCUCGCCUUCCCAGCGAACACCGCUUUCGUUUCUUUCCUUCCCUCUUCUCUGCCACCAUUCUGCAGCGCGGACGUCAACGACCGCCGGACGGCAUCGUCUGCCCGCCCCAUAUCUGCCUCGUCUCUGCCACGGCACUGUCGCUGUGCGUCUGGGUGCGAGGGCACUCCUCCAGUAAACCACCGACCUUCUUCGCGAGCUCUCACUCCUACUUCUCGUCCCUUCCUCCUCUCUACGCAAUCAUCUGCGCUGGCACAGGAGCGAUGAGCAGUCACGCGUUCUCGUCUGGGUCGGCGCCGAACGUGAGCUCGGCCACCACGGGCACUGUGGCGCAGCAGGCCGACACCCUCACCCGCAACUUGAUCUUGGGUAUUCCGAAAGAGGGGCUCUCGCCGAACAGCCCUGAGGCGGCGGACCUGCAGGCCGCUGAGGCCUUCGUCAGCGACAUUCAGCAGGAGAUCCUCGCCUACGACAUUGCCAACGCGAAGGCCAUCGAGUCGUACGCGGUGCGUUGGUGGAGCGCCGUGCCCUUCUUUGGUCGCCACGCUAAGCGCGCACUGGAGGCCGAGUCGACUGCUGCUGCCACGGCAGCAGCAGGGGAGACCCACAAGAGCACAGAGGCUGCUGCUGUGGUGGACGGCAACGCGAACUCUUCGGAAGGGCACGGGCUGCGCCUUUCCCCCGAGGAGGCCGCCGCUGCACUUCAGUCAGGCGGCGCCUACCUGCACCGGCAGGCGUCGCAAACGCCACGUGGCUUCAAGGUGGAGAGGACAUCAGCGAUAGACCCGGCGCAGCUGUCGCAGCUUACUGGCGGUGCGAGGUGCGCAUCUGGGUCGAAGGCUGUACCUGUGCCGAAGGUGAACACGUGGCUCUUCCGCCGGCAGCAUCCGAGCUGGGUGCCGCUGAUGCAGCGCUGGUGGGUGCCGUGGCUCUGCUGCGGCAGCAUCGUGCUGAUUUGGACCCCCGACGUGUGGAAGCUGCGCACGCUGUACUUCUGCGAUCACCAGUAUGCGCUCCUCCGGCAGUCUAUCCACAAGGCGUAUUGGUGGGCGACGAUGGCACCGGAGGACUACGCGGCACACAUGGCCGCCAUCGCGGCGGAGCGACCGUCGAGGGUGAGGGGCACUAGUUGCCCAUUCGAGUAGGUAUUGCUUGCAUGCGAAGGGUGAGAUCGCUAGCGACCACAAGCGCUGCGCGUACAGCCAAAAUGGAGGGCGGCUGCUGAUGGCUGCUCUCCUCUUAAGGAGGUCUUCUCUGUAAGGUCUGUGUGUGUGAGAGAGUGUCACGGCCAGGGAGGCGCUUCGCGGAUGUGUUGAUGCCGCUGAUGAGGGUGGAGGAGGAGGACACCCAUCGGCAUCGGUGCCUGAGUGUCUGUGUGUCUGCCACCAUUACUAUUUCACAUGUCUCUCGUUGCUCUCAUGUGCGUGUGCAGCUGACGUGGGGGCUGCAGGCUGCGCUUUCUCGCCUGCUCGACACACGUGCACACGCACACAUGCCUCUCAGUGCGUGCUGUCUCAGGCUCCAGUACAACCCCACUCUCUCUGCCUGGGGAGAAGCCAAAGCAGCCCCCCUCCCCUCCCCUCCUAUGCCUGCCGAAUGCCGAACUCGCCUCUGGUGUGUGACAGGGUCAGGUGUCUGUGACGUAGGCGGAGGUCCGCGCGAUGCAUCGCUGCUGAUGUCGGCGGUGAGGGCCUGGAUGGCGUUGCGUCGGGGCGACCUGCGACCGUGCACACUCCUGCACACCGUCUAUGUGAUGGGCGAAGUGCCAGCGUGGCUCAAACGCACCCCGCACGGCCCUCACACUGACCACUGGUGGGGGGCAGCCUGAGCGCCACGCCGAGGGGGAUGCACCAGGGGUGGCGACCGGCACAAUGGGGGAGCGGCUGCGAGGCGACCUGCUCAGCGGGCAUGUGGGCUGGGCUCGAGGCAGAGGCGGUGCUGAGACGACUGGGUCGGCGCAUUGCUGCCGUGCGCGCGUGCGCCCAGGGCUGCUUGGCACCAGGCGGAUGGGGCACCUGUGGCAGGGGUCUGUGGUGGUGUGUGGUGAUUUAGGCAUGCAAGUCACGCAAAAAGAAAGCUUGCAUCACGUGCGGUGAUCCUUCACUCGCGUGUAUCUUCCUCUCUCUAUCCUCCACCACCUCCGCCCUGCGGCUGCAGUCCUCUUCUUCAACGACGCGCACGCUCUUCACCCCUCUGCCACACGAGCAGGCUGUCUGCUCUCCACGUGACACGCUUCGCGUCUC